rnacentral:rRNA from 1 species
CCCCUAGAUGUUCUGGGCCGCACGCGCGCUACACUGAACAGUGCAACAAGCAUCCGUCCUUGGCCGACAGGCCCGGGCAAUCUUUGAACGCUGGUCGUGAUGGGGAUAGACUUUUGCAAUUUUUGGUCUUCAACGAGGAAUUCCUAGUAAACGCAAGUCAUCAACUUGCAUUGAUUACGUCCCUGCCCUUUGUACACACCGCCCGUCGCACCUACCGAUUGAAUGGUCCGGUGAAGCCUCCGGAUUGGCGCGCACCUCGGUGCCGCCGAGAAGUUGGCUAAACCUUACCAUUUAGAGGAAGGUGAAGUCGUAACA